UCAUUAAAACAUUUUAAAGGCUGUGUAGAAAAUGUUUUUUGUUAGCAGUGAUGAAAAGUUCCUCAUACCAUAACAAGUUUAUGCUGACGAGACCUUUGUAACAACCUGCUUGUUAAUUUGGGUGAAUUUCAGAGGCAUUUACUGUGGAAAAUGGUUCUGUGAAUCCCUCCUGUGUCAACUUAAAAGAGCUCAUAUGAACAUCCAGCCUCUGUAAUCUGAAAUACUCUUGUCCAAGGAAUACAGCAAUAUGGCAUGCCAACAAAAGCGCAAGGAACAAAAUGCAUAUAAUAAUGUUUACGGUAACCCCCCGUUGGUAAUUAUUUGUGCAAUACAUACACAGAUAUCAUUUUAAUUAUGAUUAUAUAUCGGCCGGUUAUGAACUGUGACUUUACUACUGACAAAAAUGAAUUUUUUAAACAUGAUUAUUUGUUAAGAUUAAAAAAGAAAAGGUAGCAAAAUAAAACACAAAGAAGAACACUGUAUAUAAAUGAAGAGAAAUCAUAUGUAUAGUAAAUAAAAGGGCGACUGUAGUGUGCAGUUUAUAGUGUCUAGGAACGACAGCUGUCCCUGUGUCACUCUUUACUGUUGCAGGCCUUCAUGUAAGAUGGAGAUGUCUUAUUUUGGACACCUCUAGCUCUGGAUGGAAAGUGUCCAUAAACUCUUCGAAGGUUGUAGAAAUGUCACCACAAGGCAAAAAAUGUAGAGCUAAUAACAUUUUAAUGUGCAGGUGAGCUUUCUGCACACUCCUCCACAGCAGUUGAGUGUGAGAGCAUUAUUCAGCGUGCGCUUAGUCUCACGAGGUUUAGGCAUGCUACACUUCUCGCUGUCACACACACAGAGCACAGAACUAACAAACUGAAAUUCCAUCCACAAGCACUUCCUGAUAACUUCACCUGCUUAUCAUGAGUGGGGUUGCUUUGCUUUCUGUCAAUCUGUAUUAUAAUCAUGGAAAUUUAACGAGUAUAACCAGGGUAUGAAAAUGAAUUCAAAAAGAAUAGUUAUUGUGUCAAAGAGUGAAUCAAAGAGUACAAAUGUUCAUCCAUGGGUUGUAACUUUCCGUUUCCUGAGUUAGUAGCAUUUUGCGCAAAGAGGGAAUCCUCCGAGUUUAGACUUUGUAACUGACGAGUCUUUAGAUGAUGUAAACCAUCUCAAGUCCUCCAAAGAAACCUACAAGAAUAGGGGAUGUCAGUGAAACUCUACACAGAACUGUCAGAUGCUGAAGUUCCUAUGGCACCCAAUGUGAAAUUUAGGCAAAGCAAUUCCAUAAAUCUGCAGAUUGGUUUGACAUUAACAGACCAAUAAGCGUGUGUAGGUUUUGAUAAGAACUGCAUGUGUUUUAAUUGGCAUACAUUUUCCCCCAAAUAAUGCACAUUUUAUGUUUAUUUUAAAAGAGCAUAUGUGAAUUGGCCACUCCAUCCUGCACGUAGCUUUCCAAGCCAAAAUUCUGUCUUAUUUUUUAGUGUAUCCAUUUUUUUUUGAGUGAGAAUAGGGGUUGCCAGGUCUCAGUAAGACAUUUUCUGUGCUUGUUGAUCGAUUCAUUCUAUAGAAUGGACUUGGAGUUGCUAUGCAAUCCACAAUGUUGAAGUCACUGUGAUAUGUGGGGAUUAUUCACAUGACAAAAAGUCUUUGAAAUAUUUAAUACAGCAUGUGUAGAAGACCUUCAAUGAAUCAUCCAUCACAAUGUACAUUUUUUUUUUUGACAAUGGAUUAUGGGAUACGUGGGUUAUUCAACUGAAGAUACUGCAGUCUGAGCAAUUUAAUUUUGUUCAAUUCAUUACUCCAAAGCUUGACAUCAGCUGUCUCAAGUAUAUUUCAAUUCUUAGAAGUAAAACAGAAAAGCAUAGGUGACCUGCUUCUAAGAAUGGCACACGCUAAUGAUGAGGAGCCAGUCCAGGAAGUGCUAAGAAAGGAUGUUGUGGUUUUCUUUUUGCAGUCAGGUAAUCUAGAUCAUCAUCAUCAUCAUCAUCAAAAUGCAUCUGGUCGGAGUGGUACAAUCCAAAACUAGAAGCUCAUUGUUUUUCUUCAAAGCAUGAACACAUUAACCCAAAGUGCCUACCUUACAUGAUAGCUGAUGGCGUACUUAAGGUGGCACUCUGGCAGAUCAAGGGACUAGCAGCCUAGCUGUUUCAAACCUAGCAUCUUUACCAUUCAGCCACACUGCCUGCCUAUAGUCAAUCAAUACACACAUCAGAUAAUUACGUUGUGUUGCUAUCUGUUUAUACUAUCUUAAGGUUUAUAAAAAUGUUUACUAAUAACUAAUACUUCAAAUCCUCUACAGGAGUUAAAGAUCAACCAGAAGACUCCUUUGAGGGUGCUUCACAGACGACCAUUAGCUGUACGACCCCGUGUUAUUCACACGAUGAGAGUGGAAUUUGCCGAUAAGCAUCACUUUCGGCUUUACCUUAAAACCCAAGCAGGAACAUACAUUAAAGAAUUUAUCCAUGGAGAUUUUGGAAGAACUCAACCAAAUCUUAGUAUUUUGAUGAACACUGUGACUGAUAUCCUGGAACUAGACGUGGAAUCUGUGGACGUUGACUGGCCACCAGCCAUAGAAGAUUAAAGGAGGUGCCAGAGCUGCGACUCUUUAGGACUGUGAAAAGAAGCUCAAAAUGGGACUUUCUUUUUUUGUUGCCUACAGCUUUUUUUACACCAAUAAACAAUGUAAACACUUGUGUAUGAUAA